GACACCACCGGCGGACGGCUCAGUAACACGUCGGUAACCUACCCUCGGGAGGGGGAUAACCCCGGGAAACUGGGGCUAAUACCCCAUAGGCCUGAGGUACUGGAAGGUCCUCAGGCCGAAAGGGACUUAUGUCCGCCCGAGGAUGGGCCGGCGGCCGAUUAGGUAGUUGGUGGGGUAAUGGCCCACCAAGCCGAAGAUCGGUACGGGCUGUGAGAGCAGGAGCCCGGAGAUGGACACUGAGACACGGGUCCAGGCCCUACGGGGCGCAGCAGGCGCGAAACCUCCGCAAUGCGGGAAACCGCGACGGGGGGACCCCGAGUGCCGUGGCAACGCCACGGCUUUUCCGGAGUGUAAAAAGCUCCGGGAAUAAGGGCUGGGCAAGGCCGGUGGCAGCCGCCGCGGUAAUACCGGCGGCCCGAGUGGUGGCCGCUAUUAUUGGGCCUAAAGCGUCCGUAGCCGGGCCCGUAAGUCCCUGGCGAAAUCCCACGGCUCAACCGUGGGGCUUGCUGGGGAUACUGCGGGUCUUGGGACCGGGAGAGGCGGGGGGUACCCCUGGGGUAGGGGUGAAAUCCUAUAAUCCCAGGGGGACCGCCAGUGGCG
rnacentral:rRNA from 1 species